rnacentral:tRNA from 1 species
CGGCGCGUAGCUCAACGGUCAAGAGCAUCCGGCUGAUAACCGGACGACGAAGGUUCGACUCCUUCCGGGCCGA